GAAAUGCGAUAAGUAAUGUGAAUUGCAGAAUUCAGUGAAUCAUCGAAUCUUUGAACGCACCUUGCGCUCCUUGGUAUUCCUUGGAGCAUGCCUGUUUGAGUAUCAUGAAAUCUUCAAAGUAAAUCUUUUGUUAACUCAAUUGGUUUCUACUUUGGUAUUGGAGGUCUUUGCAGCUUGACACCUGCUCCUCUUUGUUCAUUAGCUGGAUCUCAGUGUUAUGCUUGGUUCCACUCGGCGUGAUAAGUUAUCUAUCGCUGAGGACACUGUAAAAGGUGGCCAAGGUAAAUGCAGAUGAACCGCUUCUAAUAGUCCAUUGACUUGGACAAUACUUUUAUGAUCUGAUCUCAAAUCAGGUAGGACUACCCGCUGAACUUAAGC
rnacentral:misc_RNA from 1 species